rnacentral:rRNA from 1 species
UGAUGGUACGUGAUAUGCCUACCAUGGUGAUAACGGGUAACGGGGAAUCAGGGUUCGAUUCCGGAGAGGGAGCCUGAGAAAUGGCUACCACAUCCAAGGAUGGCAGCAGGCGCGCAAAUUACCCACUCCCAGCUUGGGGAGGUAGUGACGAAAAAUAACAAUGCGGGACUCUAAGAGGCCCCGUAAUUGGAAUGAGUACACCUUAAAUCGUUUAACGAGUAUCAAUUGGAGGGCAAGUCUGGUGCCAGCAGCCGCGGUAAUUCCAGCUCCAAUAGCGUAUAUUAAAGUUGCUGCAGUUAAAAAGCUCGUAGUUGGAUCUGGGGCUUGAGGUCGCUGUCUAUCGUUUCGGCGAUGACGGUGAUGCUCAGCUCUGCUUGCCGGUGACUGUUGCGGUGUUCUUCACUGAGCGCUGUAGCAGCACGGCACGUUUACUUUGAAAAAAUUAGAGUGCUCAAAGCUGCUUGUCGCUUGAAUAAUGUUGCAUGGAAUAAUGGAAUAGGACCUCGGUUCUAUUUUGUUGGUUUUCGGAGCUUGAGGUAAUGAUUAAGAGGGACGAACGGGGGCAUUCGUAUUGCGGUGUUAGAGGUGAAAUUCUUGGAUCGCCGCAAGACGGACUACUGCGAAAGCAUUUGCCAAGAACGCUUUCAUUAAUUAAGAACGAAAGUCAGAGGUUCGAAGACGAUCAGACACCGUCCUAGUUCUGACCAUAAACGAUGCCGACCAGCGAUCCGUAGUGGUUGUUUUAUGGACCCUACGGGCAGCCUCCGGGAAACCAAAGUAUUUGGGUUCCGGGGGAAGUAUGGUUGCAAAGCUGAAACUUAAAGGAAUUGACGGAAGGGCACACCAGGAGUGGAGCCUGCGGCUUAAUUUGACUCAACACGGGAAAACUCACCCGGUCCGGACACCGUAAGGAUUGACAGACUGAUAGCUCUUUCUUGAUUCUGUGGAUGGUGGUGCAUGGCCGUUCUUAGUUGGUGGAGUGAUUUGUCUGGUUAAUUCCGAUAACGAACGAGACUCUAGCCUGCUAAGUAGUGUUGCUAUUGUUAUAUGGUUGACACUUCUUAGAGGGACAAGUGGCAUUUAGCCACGCGAAAUUGAGCAAUAACAGGUCUGUGAUGCCCUUAGAUGUCCGGGGCCGCACGCGCGCUACACUGGAGAAGUCAGCGUGUGUUAUCCAAGUCCGAAAGGACUGGGUAAUCCGUUGAACCUUCUUCGUGCUUGGGACUGUGGCUUGGAACUAUUCCACAUGAACGAGGAAUUCCUAGUAAUUGCAAGUCAUAAGCUUGCGUUGAUUACGUCCCUGCCCUUUGUACACACCGCCCGUCGCUACUACCGAUUGAAUGGUUUAGCAAGGUCCUCGGAUCGUGGCCGUAGGGGCACGCAAGUGUUUCUGCGGUUUGCGAGAAGACGACCAAACUUGAUCAUUUAGAGGAAGUAAAAGUCGUAACAAGGUU